CUAUGCGCCUUGCCAGCCCGCUCAGUCAGAGUUUGAUCCUGGCUCAGAUUGAACGCUGGCGGCAAGCCUAACACAUGCAAGUCGAGCGGCAGCGAAAGAAAGCUUGCUUUCUUGUCGGCGAGCGGCAAACGGGUGAGUAAUAUCUGGGAAUCUACCCAAAAGAGGGGGAUAACUACUAGAAAUGGUAGCUAAUACCGCAUAAAGUUGAAAACCAAAGUGGGGGACCUUAAAAGGCCUCAUGCUUUGGAUGAGCCCAGAAGAGAUUAGCUUGUUGGUAAGGUAAAAGCUUACCAAGGCCACGAUCUCUAGCUGGUCUGAGAGGAUAACCAGCCACACUGGAACUGAGACACGGUCCAG
rnacentral:rRNA from 1 species